AUGCGAGUACUUCCUUCGGUCAGCGUUUUGUAGACUAUCAGGAUUCAAUUUCUUUCAACUCUAUGCCCUUUGACUUCAAAAAAAAUUUGGUGGUUUCAAUUUUCAAACCAAUUUAGUCAUGGUUGAAACUAUCUAUUGACCAUAUGGCCUAUCAAAUUGACAUUCUUUAUUUGUAUUUUGUUAACUUACUGUUAUCAGUGUUAUCGACGGUUCAAAAUAUCGACU